CUCUCUCUCUCUCCCUCUUAUUCUUUUUCCCUCGUGCGUGAACCCCCUCCACCGAUUGGCCUCUUGCUGUCUUCAACUUUGCUUCUCCUUUCUUUUACUUUUUGACUUUUUCAAACUUGUCCUCUCUCUCUUGUCUUCAUCUCUCUCUCUCUCUCUCUCUCUCUCUCUCGGUACUUGUUCUCACUCUCUCGAUACCCUCUCUCUUCCGCCCCUCUUGUUCGAACAAAGCGGAAGCAGAAACAGAGACCAGCAGCGUUGAAGGAGCUGCAGCCGCGCCGGAGCCAAGACCGUCAUCGCCGCCUCACGCCGCACGCCGCCGUCUGCUCCGCCCGCGCGUCGCCCGCGCUCUCUGCCUCUCCCUCAUCCCCUUCAGCCGCUGUUGACACUCCUUUCUCCUUCUCGGUUUCGUUCAAAGA
rnacentral:lncRNA from 1 species